rnacentral:rRNA from 1 species
CAGCCGCGGUAAUACGAAGACCCGAGCGUUAUCCGGAUUUAUUGGGUUUAAAGGGUGCGCAGGCGGACUAAUAAGUCAGUGGUGAAAGCCUGAUGCUUAACAUCAGAACUGCCAUUGAUACUGCUAGUCUUGAGUACGGUUGAGGUGGGCGGAAUGUGUCAUGUAGCGGUGAAAUGCUUAGAUAUGACACAGAACACCAAUUGCGAAGGCAGCUCGCUAAACCGUAACUGACGCUGAGGCACGAAAGCGUGGGGAGCAAACAGGAUUAGAUACCCUGGUAGUCCACGCCCUAAACGAUGACCACUCGAUGUUGGCGAUACACAGUCAGCGUCUAAGGGAAACCAUUAAGUGAUCCACCUGGGAAGUACGACCGCAAGGUUGAAACUCAAAGGAAUUGACGGGGGCCCGCACAAGCGGAGGAGCAUGUGGUUUAAUUCGAUGAUACGCGAGGAACCUUACCUGGGCUUGAAAGUUAGUGACCGUCCCUGAAAGGGGACCUUCCGCAAGGACACGAAACUAGGUGCUGCAUGGCUGUCGUCAGCUCGUGCCGUGAGGUGUUGGGUCAAGUCCCGUAACGAGCGCAACCCCUAUCAUUAGUUGCCAACAGGUAAAGCUGGGGACUCUAAUGAGACUGCCCGCGCAAGCGGUGAGGAAGGUGGGGAUGACGUCAAGUCAUCACGGCCCUUACGUCCAGGGCUACACACGUGCUACAAUGGUAGAUACAGCAGGUUGCCACAUGGUAACAUGGAGCUAAUCCCAAAAGUCUAUCUCAGUUCGGAUUGAGGUCUGCAACUCGACCUCAUGAAGCUGGA